rnacentral:lncRNA from 1 species
GAGGCAGUGCAGGAUGCAAACGAAACGUCUCCUUCAUCACAGCAUCCAAAUACCGUAACUUGGGCAAGUGGAAUUCUUCUACGGUGUUGUUCGCUCCAACAACUUCCUGUAAUUCUUGGUAUACCUUCUGCCUUACCUCUUGAUGUUGCAUUAGUCGUGCCAUUGUCCAUUCGAUCAUGGUAGUAGUUGUGUCAGUACCGCCCACGAAAAUGUCCUGUGUAUCAAAAAUAACAUUAUUUUUAACGCUAGGUAGAUGCAUGAUUUUGAUCAGCAGCAGACUUGUUAGACAGCAGCUACAUCAUUUUUUGGGGAAAAGCACGCUUUGCUCUAUCUGAACUUUCUAAUCACCCUUUGUUAAGGUGGUCUUGGUCUUGGACAUUCUGAUGCUUGUAGGUCCGUAUGUUUCCAAGACAGAUUCACGAGGGACUCAAUGUUCCCAAGAAAUGAUACUUUAGUUUUAUCUACCAGUAAGAUCUAGAAACAUACAUUGCAUUGGCUUUAAAAGUAUAAAUAAGAACUGAAAUUAAAGUAGAAGAAAUUUUUUUUAAGAAAAAAAAGAAGAAAAAAUUAAAGUAGUCAUACCAUUAGCAUGGCUUUGAGUUGGUCCAUCGUAAUUGAUGUUGCGGUAUCUUCAUGCUUGUUAAGAUCCAAGAGAAUCUGCAGCAAGUCUUCUCUCACAUCCAUACGUGCCUUUUCUUCAUUCAAACGUUGCUCAAUUGCAGAUUCAAGAAAUUGAUCGAGAGUGACUGCUAAUCGCUUUGAUCGUCUCUCUAUACCUUGCAAGUCAUACCUAGCCAGCACGGGGAAAAGGUCCGAAACAUUAGGUUUUCCUAAUAGCACCAUCAUCUCUGCUGCAUGACACCGAAACUGUGCAACGAAAUUAGUCCAUUUCUCUCCUUGGAUUGUGCCACCCCCCAGCAAAAUUCUCAGGACAGUAUUUAGGCUUGUUACAUAUGCCAAUUCACCAAAGUCAAUAGGGUUGCCAAUUUUAUUAUACACUUCUCUAAUAGCCUUUUUAACCUCCUGUUUUCUCAGUGCAUAAGAAGCAUCAAGGCUAUUGCCUAGCAUUUCGCGCACCAAAACCUUGCGCAUCUUUCUCCAUUGAGGACUGUAAGAGGACCAAGCGAUAUCAUUUCCGCCGUAUGAGAGCACCCGGGCGGAAAUAGGUGGAUCACGAUUAGCAAAUAUGGUAUCCUUGUCACGAGCAAUUUCUUUGGCUAGUGGUGGUGAGCUAACCACCAUGCACAAUUUGUUUCCGAGCCUUAGCUUGUAGAUAGGGCCAUAGACCCCAGCUAGUUCAGUGAACUUCUUGUGGAGGUCAUUACCAAGAAAUGGAAGGUAUCCAACUAAUGGCAAGCCACGAGGACCUGGCGGAAACGGAGCAGCGACUGCCUUCUUU